GCGGGACACCUCCUCCUCCUAGACAUUCCCCAAGGACCGGACGAGAGCGCGGCUGACUGCGACUUAUGUCUAGAUUGGCCUAGACGUCCUAGUUGAGUCUUAGUCCUGGGAAGGGUCAGGCGGGUGGACGCUGAGUGAGGGACAGUGUUGUGUAGGACAAGGGUGUGGGCAGAUAGGGGCUAAAUGCUUGGGACGGUCAGCGAGAACCGCGUAUCCGCUCCGCCGAGGCAGGGCAUGAACCAAAGAGCGACAACAGACUAACUACCAGGGGGAACCACGGGCAGGAUGGGCAAGGAAGCAGAGGACACGACACUCUUACUUUUGGGGCAGGGCCAGGAAAGGCCACCAAGACCGGCUACCGUGACACAACUCUUUAUCUGAUUCAGUGGGUGGCUCUGAAAAGAGCCUUUUUGGGAGCUCGCGGGGGUUAUAUCACAGAGACGCGGGCCGACGCGAGCAGUGGCCUCACUUGCCCUUCGCCUUAUGGUGGCUCUCCGUCUUCUUGGGCAGCAGCACGGUGUUGAGCUCCUCGUCGUUGCGGAUGGCCANNNNNNNNNNNNNNNNNNNNNNNNNNNNNNNNNNNNNNNNNNNNNNNNCAGGAUCUCGGCCGUUAGGUACUCCAGCACCGCCGCCAUGUAUACCGGCGCGCCGGCGCCCACACGCUCCGCGUAGUUGCCCUUGCGCAGCAGCCGGUGUACACGCCCCACCGGGAACUGUAGCCCGGCCCGGGAAGACCGCGACUUGGCCUUGGCGCGGGCCUUGCCUCCUUGCUUGCCACGACCGGACAUCACGAAAGCGCAAACAGACGAACGGCCACAACCAGGAAAGGGUACUCCGGCGACGACGCCUCACCCUUUUAUAGACGCAGACCCGAUUGUCCGCCCGACGCUCUCAUUGGCUCACACGCGUCCUGACGCCGUGGCCAAUAGGAGCGCGCGGACAGAAGCCUCUCAUUUACAUAAGACCGGCUCCCUCGCCCCGGCGCCGCCCUGGAACGCGCGAAUCACGACGCGCGUGCUCGGUGGCUUCAUUUGCGUGCGGCCGUCGUUGCGACACUCCGCGGGUCAGUGUGCCCUGCAUCCAAGAGGGCCUGAGUUAAUCACUUACUUAAGUGUAGGUUUUCCUUCGAGGAAUACUGGAAAUUUAGUUUUUUAUACCUAAGGAGUAGCGGAUAAUUCUCAUAGCCUCUUUAUUUUUCUACUUGAAACAGUGUAAAACCUACUUGUUUCAUUUUAAGCGUUUAUCGCUGGGAGCCUUACUUUAAAAUCGUUAAAUUUAAAGGUUAUUUUCUUAAUCCAUACACAUCUGAGAGUGCUUGAAAAGACCAAGUACAGUUCGCCUGGGGUUUACUAAAAUUAUUUUUUUUGCCACUCAGAUUUGUACAUAAGGAAUCGAAAUAACUUAAAAAGUAAACCUUACGCUGCUGCUUUUGUCUAUCAUUUGUCCUGAUGGCUCUCAGAAGCUCCUUUUAGGAGCCUUCCAGGCUGUCUGGGGCUAGAGUGACUCGGAGUACCAUAUCCGGACUGCCAUUAUUUUAGCAUCGCAUCAGUUAUGCUCGGUAAAAUACAGCCAGCAUUUUUCAAUCUCUGAAAUUUGUAAUAAGGUUCGUUAUCGAUGCAUUAGAAUCACUGAUUAGGCAUAUUGAGUGUAAGCUUAGCUCUAGUAACAGGUAUAUUGUUACAUAGUAACAUAGUUACAAUCUUUAUAUUUUACAUUGUUACAUAUUGUGGAGAUGGAAUUCUAGUCUUGUGGAGGAAUCGGCAAGAGUGUAGCACUAGGAUUUUGGGUUGAAGCUAGGUAGGCAGUGGAUUUUUUUGGAUUUUGGUGGGUUUUUUUGUUUGUUUGUUUGUUUGUUUUUUUUGGUUUUUUCGAGACAGGGUUUCUCUGUAUAGCCCUGGCUAUCCUGGAACUCAGUCUGUAGACCAGGCUGGCCUCGAACUAAGAAAUCUGCUUGCUUCUGCCUCCCAAGUACUGGGAUUAAAGGUGUGUGCCACCACCGCCAGGCUUAGGUAGGCAGUGUUAUUAGGAUGGCUAGCUGAAAAGCAUUUUAAGUUGAGAAGUUGAAGGUUUAUCAAGGAUUCUGAUUAAAUUUGAUAUUGAUAUUUAUGUGCAUAUGUGGACUCACAAAUUUGAGAGGUGGAUCAAGGGUUCAGCAAAGACUACACAACCCUGCAUUUAUGGACUGACUGCAGAUCACGAGAAUGACAUCCUAUGACCUUAGAAUAUACUUUUGAUCCUUAAGUAUUUGUCUUGAAAUAUAAUUUGGUACGUGUUAUUCCUGAUAUGUGUUAUUCCUAUAAAGGAUGUUAU
ensembl:antisense Gm20632 predicted gene 20632